CGAAAACGAAUUCUCUCUUGAGUGGAUCCUGAGUACGACGGAGCACGUGAAAUUCCGUCGGAAUCUGGGAGGACCAUCUCCUAAGGCUAAAUACUCUCUAGUGACCGAUAGUGAACCAGUACCGUGAGGGAAAGGUGAAAAGUACCCCGGAAGGGGAGUGAAAGAGAACUUGAAACCGUGUGCUUACAAGUAGUCAGAGCCCGUUAAUGGGUGAUGGCGUGCCUUUUGUAGAAUGAACCGGCGAGUUACGAUCUGAUGCAAGGUUAAGCAGAAAAUGUGGAGCCGUAGCGAAAGCGAGUCUGAAUAGGGCGAAUGAGUAUUUGGUCGUAGACCCGAAACCAGGUGAUCUACCCUUGGUCAGGUUGAAGUUCAGGUAACACUGAAUGGAGGACCGAACC
rnacentral:rRNA from 1 species